CCCACCGAGGGGCCCGAGGGCACUGGCCACGGCCCCCCACAGCCUCGGGGCCGGCUCUUACCAACGGGAAGCAACACCAGGGCCGGCCCCCAAAGUAACGAGAGGCUCUGGAUCACUCUUGUUAAGGCGUCUGGGAGCAGGACUGGCCUCUUUAGGUGGAGUGAAUCUCGGAGGUUACCGGACAGUCUGACUGGGGCACAACCCCCCGCAACCCCAGGAAGGGAGGAGGCUUCUUGGAAGGCUGGCAGGUGGAACCUGGAGCCAGUGCUGACACGAACAAUAAAGCUCCGUGACUUAAUUUUCACCCCAAGCUGGUGAAGCAGGUCGUACCAGUUACACACCGAAAUGGGAAAAUAAUUUCAGAUUGUGAUCAGUGCGGUGGCUAUACAACCCAGGUUAAAAUGAAAGAGAAUAGUGCAGAGUUUGGGUUGGAUUUGGAGAAGAGGGGGUCAGAAGCCUCUCUAAAAAUGUGGUAUUUCAAUAAAGCCUGAAGAAAUCAGUGGUGUGGGUGGAACAGAGGCUGGGAGAGGAGAGCUUUCUGUAUGAUGAAAAGGCAUGUGCAAAGGUCGAGGACAUCAUUUACUGCACCUGGGAACCCAAAAUAAAUUUUCAGGAAUAUCCUCAAGGAUAUGCUUCAUCCAAACGAGGGAAUAAACCAAAGGAGAGGAAGACAUGGGGCCAGGGAACAAGGAGGCUACCACAGCAGGAGAGAGGAAUUCCUUUGGACAAUGAAGAAAGAUGUCACAGGGUGGCAACUGCACAGAGAACAGCUGGACAGGAGAGAGCUGAAGGUGGAGGAUUCUAGAAGACUUGUCUUCAAGGGGGAAAUAAAAAAUCAACAAAUCACUUAAUGAUUCUGAAUGUACUGAGACUGUAAUGAUUUCUGAAUGUCAAGAAAAUCAGAAGAUAAAUUAGUGAUUGGUAAUUACAAAACUAAGUGAAGAUAAACUCACGUGCAAAAGAACAAAUUCAAGUCAGCUACUAACCCUAGGGGGACAAUAGUAGAAGAAAAAAAAUGUAUUCACAGUAUACUCUAUGGUCUGUUAUAAAUAAUAUUAGACGUGAUGAAAAAUAGAGAUAAUUAAUAGACUUUAACCAAAAAUUGUGAUGUAAACAUAGUGAUAAGAUGGGAGUAGGGGUAGGAGAUAAUAUAUGUGAGUGGAGUGGAAAAAUAAUGAAAUCUUUUUCCUUCACUUGGACCAGUGUAUUGAAUGAGUCAGUACCGAGAAACUUCAUUUUUACCAAAACACUGUCCUUUUUUCAGACACACUAUUUUAAGUGUUUUUCCCUAUUCAUGGGUGGGAACAAUGCCACACAGAUCCCAUAGUCACUUUCAGGUAAUGACAGAAAAUCUGUUUUGGGUGUUCAUGUCCAUUCUGAUAUCAGAACUUACUUCCUUCCUUCUCUCCUUUCUUCCUUCUUUCUCUCUCACUCUGAUAUCAGACUCUUUAUGCCAGAAGAGUUUGGAUUUAGCAGGUCCUCUUUCCCACCGGUCAUUCUCAGGAGCCCCAAUUAAGCCCCCUCAUUAAUGAUAUUGUUAGUGGUUUGUGCACAAUGAGAUGGCAACCAUUCCCUCCAGCACUCCCAACUUUAUAUAGCUAUUUAGGUAGCAAAAUCUCAAUGAAAGUUCUUCAUCCUAAAAAAAAAAUCCUGUUUCUGGGUAUGACGGACUAGAACAUAACCAGACAAGUCCCUCCCCUCUGCAGAGAACAAUUAUAAAAGCUGAAUGUGACAUAGAAAGCCACUACCGAAAGCCUGACAAGUGAAAAGAAAGUUGACAGACCCUGGCAGGGAGUACCUGUUUGCUGGGGACAGGUGAGAUGGGAGCUAUGCCGAAAAUUCCCAGCUCUGUGGAUUUUUUGCCUGUGGCUAAGAGCAGUGCAUGUAGCAUGUGUAAGUACCAGUGGUGACAUACAUGGGAAAACCCAUAGGUUGUCUGUCCUGGGAAACCAGAAAGAUGAAACCAAUGAACCAAAAAAAUGAAGCCAGAAACCAUGAAUGCAGAGGAGAGUGGAAGGGUCACAGAAGAGAGAAAUUCAGAGACAAGAUGCUCAAACCCUGUAUAUUCAUGUCUCCAACACACAUGUAUAUGAAACAGGCUUAACACAGCUCAGCUAAAAAAAAUAAGAUCUAACCUGUGACAAGAGCUGCCAUCUACAAGUGGAGUUUUCACACAAAACUUCCCUGCAAACAUAGGGAAAAAAAUGCUCAUUGGAGAAAAAAAAAAAAAAAAAACAACAGAAUAUAGAAUCUCCACAACUUAACAUUUAUAAUGUCCAGAAUGGACCUAAAAUUACCUGUCACAUGAAGAACCAAGAAAAUAGAACCCGCUCUCAGAAGAAAAGAAAAUCAGUGAAGCCGUAUCCCAACAUGAACCCAAGUCAGGAACUCAAAGAUUUUAAUGUGAAUAAAUCAGGAAAUCACACCACAGAUAUAGACACAUUAAAAAAAAUAAAUGGAAAUUCUAGAACAAAAAAAUACACUUUCUGAAAUAAAAAUUUCACAGAAUAGACUUAGCUGAAAGACAUACCAGAGAAAAGACUAAAUGGCAUGCAAGAUAGGCCAAUAUAAAUUAUCCAAAAUGCAGAACACAGAGAAAACAAAUUUUCAAACUCUUAAACAGAAAUUCAAGCACCAGUUAAAUGAUAUCCAAUGGCCUAAUGUGUGUGUAAUUGGAAUACCAGAAGAAGAAAAGAGAGAAAAUGAGCAGAAAAAAAAAUAUUUGAAGAAAAAAAGUCCUCAAUUUUCCUAAAUUUGAUUAAACAUAGAACUUUGCAGAUACAAGAUAAUAAACAAACACCACACAGAAUAAACACAAAGAGGCCCCUGAAGUGCAUCCAAGUCAAUAAAUUGAAAGCCAAAAAUAAAGAAUAAAGCAGCAAGAGAAAAACAGCAUAUCACCAGGAAAUAGCGAUCCCAUUUACCAGUGACUUCUUAAUAGAAACCAUGGAGGCCAGGAGAAAAUGGAAGAGCAUCAUUAGAGUGUGAAAGACAAAAUUGCCAACUAAGCAUUCUAUACUCAGUGAAAAUAUCCUUUAAGAACACAGAUGAAAUAAAAUCUUUUCCAGAUAAAGUAAAACAAAGAGAAUCCAUCACCAUCAGACCUACAAUAUAAGAAAUGCUAAAGAAGUUUUUUAGACUGAAGAGAAAUGAAAUGAAGAGCAGAGGAAAUGUUACCUAUUGGUUAAUACUGGGUUAUACACAAAAGUUUGGAUUCUGAAGUCUAUAAAAACAUUAUAAACAAAGAAAACUACAGACUAAUAUCCUUCAUGAAUAUUGACAGAAAUCUUAACAAAAUUGUCACAAACUGAAUUCAACAAUAUGUAAAAAGGAUAAUAUAUCAUGCCCAAGUGGUGUUUAUGCUUGGAGUUCAUGUCUGGUUAAUAUCCAAAAAUUAGUCAAUAUCUUUCAUCAUUUUAAUAGAAUAGAGGGCAACCACAUAAUCAUUUCAAUAGAUGCAGAAAAAGCAUUUGAUUAAAUUCAACACCAAUUUGUUAUUUUAAAAUGCAAUAAAUCAAAACUCCCAGCAAAUUAGGAAUAGGAGGAAAGUUACUUCAACCUGUUAAGGGCAUCUGUGGCAAACCUAUAGCUGAUAUUACACUCAACAAAGCUUAUGGAAAGCUUAAUGAUUUCUACCUAAGAUCAGGAACAAGGCAAGGAUGUUCAUUCUCACCACUUCUGCAUUGUAUUGAAGAUUCUAGCUAGUUUAAUAAGGUACAAAAAAAAAAAAGAAAUGAAAGGCA